rnacentral:rRNA from 1 species
CCUACGGGAGGCAGCAGUCGAGAAUCAUUCACAAUGGGGGAAACCCUGAUGGUGCGACGCCGCGUGGGGGAAUGAAGGUCUUCGGAUUGUAAACCCCUGUCAUGUGGGAGCAAAUUAAAAAGAUAGUACCACACGAGGAAGAGACGGCUAACUCUGUGCCAGCAGCCGCGGUAAUACAGAGGUCUCAAGCGUUGUUCGGAAUCACUGGGCGUAAAGCGUGCGUAGACUGUUUCGUAAGCCGUGUGUGAAAGGCGCGGGCUCAACCCGCGGACGGCACAUGAUACUGCGAGACUAGAGUAAUGGAGGGGGAACCGGAAUUCUCGGUGUAGCAGUGAAAUGCGUAGAGAUCGAGAGGAACACUCGUGGCGAAGGCGGGUUCCUGGACAUUAACUGACGCUGAGGCACGAAGGCCAGGGGAGCGAAAGGGAUUAGAUACCCCUGUAGUC